rnacentral:lncRNA from 1 species
UUUUUAAAUGGCUUUUUCUUAACUAAACUUAUCAAUCAUUUUUGGCAAUGCAGCAUAAAGUUAGGAUCGAAUGCUGUGUUUUUAACACAAAUUUCAUAGGUGGCACAAAGUUAUUUUUUUAAACUGACAUAAAAAUUAUUAGAGUUUAUGGAAAUACAGUUUUUCAAGAUCAAGAUUAAGCACAGUAUAUAUAGGUAAUGUUUAUAUAUGUAAUAUAUAUGCCAUUGCAUGUAUAUAACUCUAUUCACAUAUCUAUAUCUAUACUUGAUUGUAGUGUCAAACUAUGGCAUCUAUUACAACAUAUGGGUAUAUAUUCUGAAUUUCUCACUCGAUAAAAUAGGUCCGUCACUUGUAUUUUUUCCUUUCAUUCAUUUUUCAAGAGUCAUGUAACUACUUAAGGUAGAGAACCAUCUAGCAUAACAUCAAUUUCCUUUGCAUUACCUUCUUGAUUUCCCCGUGAAAUGAAGCCUUGUGUUCCUUCU